UGUAUUUGAAAGACAUGGCGGAGAAAAAAAUGCAAAGCUAGUGGGUAUGAUUAUAAACAUAUAUAGGAAGUAUAUAAUAAUCCUACAAAGUUAAUCAGCUAUAGAUAAACGUAGGGCUUUGGGGUGAAUACCAGGUGGAAACAUGGACUCAGUUUACUGGAACAAAAUGAAAAUUGGGAACAUUUGGAAUUUAUGGUUGUAGAUGAACAAUGAAGAUCAGCUACACAGAAAGAAAAAAUAAUGGAAUGUCAAAGAUAAAAAGACAACUGUGAACAUAUGUAGGAAAUGGAAAAUGGACUACUUUGGGCAUAUAUUUAGAUCUGAGGGAAUGUUGGCUGAGAUUCUGAAGAGUAAAACUGUAGGAAGAGCAAUGAGAGACAGGAAGAAACUUGUGGUUUGAUGGUGUUAGUAAAUAGAUUAGAGAUGAGAAUCUUGAAUUAGGAAAGUUGAUGCAGACAGCAAAAAAAGAAAGAAAAAAUGAGAACCACAGUAUCAACCUUCAGAACUAAUUGAUAGGUUUUAAUUAGGAGUUUGUAAUGUUAUAAACAAAAAGCUAUAAUGAUUAGAAUGUAUUAAUUCAUCUGUUAUGUACCCUCACCAUUACUGAUAUUUUCAGCUGUAAUCCCAGUAAUAUCUCAUGAGGUUUGGCCUGCUUAAGAGAUAUUUAGGUUAAUUCUAAAUUCAUAUACUGAGUUAAAAAUGAAAAAUAAUCCAUGUGAUAAAAUAAGAAGUAUAAUAAAUUAAGAAUAAUAAAAGUAUUCUAUAUAUUAAAUAUUUUAACCAAUAGUGUUAAUGAAACUAACAUUAAAGAUAGAAUAGAACAUAACAUUACUUAUAAGACAUAUAAAAACAAGUAGUUUUCUUCAUGCAUUAUCACUGAUGUCCUCUAAUUGGGACCAAACCUGAACUUUCCUUUUUCAGUAAUAAUACUUGGGGACUUUUAUUAUUAUUAUUAUUAUACAUGUGUAAAUGCUGGGAUUAUGUGUAUUCAUUGUGUCUUAUGUCAUUUAUAACUUUUACUGUUUUCUGCAAUACAAACAAAAACAUGUAUAACUAUUCUUGUAGUAGUUUUAACUUUCACAGGAUUUCAGCAGAAAGGAGGAUUUUAAUUGUAUAAAAAUAUGUGUAGUUUCUGUUUAGUUGAAAAACAGUGACAUAAGUAACAGUGGCCCCUAAUUAUUAACAGUAAUUUAUGUGUUGAUGAAUUAACUUGUCAGGACACUUCAAGUUUAAAAUGUUUACACUAAAAUUGAAAUAAGGUGGAUUACUGCGUGAAAAGUUCUUAUAUAUUCAGUAUACAAUUAAGUUGUGCAUAUCUUUGUAAUAAUGGUAAAAUUGAUAAAUAAAAAAAAGAGAUUUAAAACUUUCAA